GACGAACGCUGGCGGCGUGCUUAACACAUGCAAGUCGAACGGAAAGGCCCUGCUUUUGUGGGGUGCUCGAGUGGCGAACGGGUGAGUAACACGUGAGUAACCUGCCCUUGACUUUGGGAUAACUUCAGGAAACUGGGGCUAAUACCGGAUAGGAGCUCCUGCUGCAUGGUGGGGGUUGGAAAGUUUCGGCGGUUGGGGAUGGACUCGCGGCUUAUCAGCUUGUUGGUGGGGUAGUGGCUUACCAAGGCUUUGACGGGUAGCCGGCCUGGGAGGGUGACCGGCCACAUUGGGACUGAGAUACGGACCAGACUCCAACGGGAGGCAGCAGUGGGGAAUAUUGCACAAUGGGCGGAAGCCUGAUGCAGCAACGCCGCGUGCGGGAUGACGGCCUUCGGGUUGUAAACCGCUUUCGCCUGUGACGAAGCGUGAGUGACGGUAAUGGGUAAAGAAGCACCGGCUAACUACGUG
rnacentral:rRNA from 1 species